UACGUAGGCAGCAAGCGUUGUUCGGAAUUACUGGGCGUAAAGAGUGUGUAGGCGGUGCUCUAAGUUCGGUGUGAAAUCUCCCGCUUAACUGGGAGGGUGCGCCGGAAACUGGAGUGCUCGAGCGUGGGAGAGGAAAGCGGAAUUCCUGGUGUAGCGGUGAAAUGCGUAGAUAUCAGGAGGAACACCUGCGGUGUAGACGGCUUCUGGACCAUUGCUGACGCUGAGACACGAAAGCGUGGGUAGCAAACAGG
rnacentral:rRNA from 1 species